AGUCCUGACAACGGCAUGCGGCACUGCCGCCUAGGGGCAUUAUCCCACCUAAGGCAUGGGUCAACCCUAGCGAUUUGACAGCCCCACGGUGAUUUGACACCCUUACGGCGACUCUGACAGUCUUCAGUGAGUUGAUAAUUCUUCAAUUAUCCGCGCUAUUAAUGACGGCGCCAUACCAUGCUCCACUAUAUAUAUCGGAGA
rnacentral:lncRNA from 1 species